rnacentral:rRNA from 1 species
UACGUAGGGUGCGAGCGUUAAUCGGAAUUACUGGGCGUAAAGCGCGCGCAGGCGGCCCGCGAGGUGUGACGUGAAAGCCCCGGGCUCAACCCGGGAGGGUCGUGGCAAACCGGCGGGCUUGAGGCCGGUAGAGGUGGGUGGAACUCCUGGUGGAGUGGUGAAAUGCGUAGAGAUCAGGAAGAACACCCGUGGCGAAGGCGGCCCCCUGGGCCGGUACUGACGCUGAGGCGCGAAGGCGUGGGGAGCGAACGGG